rnacentral:rRNA from 1 species
UUAUAGAGUUUUUAUCUGCUCAGGAAGUAUAGAGGGUUGGGGGGCUGCUCAGAUAGAACAGGUGGCGGCAGUCUUUAACUCAUGAAAGUCGACAGGCAAAAGGGAGCUUGAUCGGGGAUUCAGCGGCGGACGCGUGAGUAACGCAUACGUAUGUGCGGGAUAGCGGGGGAUAACGUCUGGAAACGGGCGAUAAUACUGCAUACGUCAUGAGGUAGAAAGUGGGGGAUCUUCGGACCUCACGCUAUCAGAUGAGCCUAGGUGCGAUAAGUUAGUGGGGGGGGUAAAGGCCUACCAGGGCGAGGAUCCGUAACUGCUCUGAGAGGAUGUUCAGUCCCACGGGAAUUGAGCCACGGUCCAGAUCCUUACGGGAGGCACCAUUGGGGAUUUUUGGCCAAUGGGGGAAAUCUUGAUCCAGCCAUGCGGCGGGUGGGAGAAAGUUUUUGGGUUUUUAAAGCACUUUAAGUGGGGAGGAAGGGCAGUAAGUUAAUACCAUGUUGCUUUGACGUUUCCAACCGAAUAAGCACCGGCAAAUUUCGUGCCAGCAGCCGCGUAAAUACGAAGGGGCCAAGCGUUUCUCGGAAUUACUGGGCGUAAAGCGGGGCUAGGUGGUUCAGCAAUUUGGAUGGGAAAUCCCCGGGUUCACCGGGGGAACUGCAUCCAAAAUUAGUGAGCUGGAGUCCGGUGGAGGGAGGUGGAAUUUCCUGGGAAGCGGGGAAAGGGGUAGAAAUAGGAAGGAACACCAGGGGGGAAGGGGACCUCCGGGAUUGAUAUGGACAUGGAGGUGGGAAAGGGGGGGGACCAACCAGGAUUAGAUACCCUGGUAUUCCACCCCGUAAAGGAGGUCUGAUUAGCCGUUGGGAUCCUUGAGAUCUUAGUGGCUCAGCUAACGCGAUAAGUCAGACCGCCUGGGGAGUACGGCCGCAAGGUUAAAACUCAAAUGAAUUGACGGGGGCCCGCACAAGCGGUGGAGCAUGUGGUUUAAUUCGAAGCAACGCGAAGAACCUUACCUGGCCUUGACAUGCUGAGAACUUUCCAGAGAUGGAUUGGUGCCUUCGGGAACUCAGACACAGGUGCUGCAUGGCUGUCGUCAGCUCGUGUCGUGAGAUGUUGGGUUAAGUCCCGUAACGAGCGCAACCCUUGUCCUUAGUUACCAGCACCUCGGGUGGGCACUCUAAGGAGACUGCCGGUGACAAACCGGAGGAAGGUGGGGAUGACGUCAAGUCAUCAUGGCCCUUACGGCCAGGGCUACACACGUGCUACAAUGGUCGGUACAAAGGGUUGCCAAACCGCGAGGUGGAGCUAAUCCCAUAAAACCGAUCGUAGUCCGGAUCGCAGUCUGCAACUCGACUGCGUGAAGUCGGAAUCGCUAGUAAUCGUGAAUCAGAAUGUCACGGUGAAUACGUUCCCGGGCCUUGUACACACCGCCCGUCACACCAUGGGAGUGGGUUGCUCCAGAAGUAGCUAAUCUAACCGCAUGGGAGACGGUUACCACGGAGUGAAUCAAGACUGGGGUGAAAUCUAAAAGGGGUACCAACAGGGGGGGAAAAAAAAAAAACCCAAAUACAUAUAUGUCUUAUAUCAGGG